UAAAUAAUCGAGUCUGGACCAGACAAUCCAAGAUUCAACAGCAUAAGAAUCGAACUACGCAACUGGAAAAAGAUGGCAUGUGUUAACCAAGUCAGCGAGCCUGACUCCAAGAUCCCGUUAUUCGCCUCUUACAAGCGUGGAUUGCUGAAGACCAAUU